rnacentral:rRNA from 1 species
UACGUAGGGAGCAAGCGUUGUCCGGAUUUAUUGGGCGUAAAGAGCUCGUAGGCGGCUUAGAAAGUCAGGUGUGAAAACUCCAGGCUCAACCUGGAGACGCCACUUGAUACUUCUAUGGCUUGAGUUCGGUAGGGGAUCACGGAAUUCCUGGUGUAGCGGUGAAAUGCGCAGAUAUCAGGAGGAACACCGAUGGCGAAGGCAGUGAUCUGGGCCGAUACUGACGCUGAGGAGCGAAAGCGUGGGGAGCGAA